AUUCUUAUAUGUUCCAACAGAAUAUUAUAAGGGACAUAUAUGCUGCAAAAACCGCAUAUACAAAUUGCAUAAUAUUUAUGUAUUUUCAAUCCUAUAUGUCAUAUAUGUCCCACAUAUAACUAAAGUCUUACAGAUUUUCAUGAUGUAAAAACAUAGGAAAAUAAUGCAAAUUUAAGGCCUAUGAAUGUCCACCAUAUCUCUUAAGAUGUAUAUAAAACAUAGUGCAUCAGUAAGGCUGUACUUUACUCAUGUCCUCGCUCUUAUCUUGUCCUAAGUGGAGCCCUACAUAUAUUAAUUACAAAAUUAACAUUUUAAUUACAAAACUAAUUAAUUAGAUUAACAUUUUAACGUGGGAUGACACUUGGUGACGUUAGUUGCAUUAGCUCUGUGAACACAAAAAUCAUGGACAUGAUUCAGAUAUGUUAAAGGGUCAGGAGAAAAAGUCACACUUGGCUCCUUUGCGGUUAAAAAUGACUGCCAUAGGAAAUUAAUGGGAAAUACGAAAACAUACAAAAACUCUGAGAAUGUUUUGGUGGUACAAACUACAAAUAAACCACUGUGCAGAAAAAAGUGCACAACAAUGAAGGGGUCACGCUCUAAAAUAUCAAGAGUGCAAAACAGACACAUCCACCCCACACUAGUGUGACUAUAAAACAGAGCAAGUUUUUACAAAUGGGAAAUAAUCAAGAAAAUCAAGAAUUCAGCCGCUCUGCAGGAAUAUGCACUAUGCAAAAGACUUUAAAAAGAGGUUGAAAUCAGAUCUGAUUCUGGCUCAGAUUAAUUGAUGUGUAACCCGGGUAACCUAAGAAAAGGAAAACAAAUUCUAGAAGAAAAAGAGAUUCAUCCAAUCCCUGAUUCGUGCUGCAAUGAGAGACACCCCUAAGAGCCAAUAGUAGCGGCGCAUUCAUAAGUCCCGCCCACUGGUCUCGCCGGCGCUGCUUUCAGCGUGAGCAGAUGAGAGCGAGUCAGAGCAGAUCAGCACAGACGGACCAGACAGUUUCUCCAGAAAAUCCAUUGAUAUAACUGGAAAUGUGAGUGAGUGCACUGAAAGUGGAGCUUUUGAAGUCGAUGCGUCAGCCUGAAGUGAUGUCGUCGGAGACAGAGAAGAGAGAGAGACGGAGCGGAUCCCAGAGUGUUGAAGCAUUGUACAGUCAUUUAUGUUCAUCUGUUUACAUUUAUUGAGGUAAGAAGACAAAUAUCUAAGAAAAUGAAUGCGUAUCAUUUCCAUCUCUUGUUUCUUGUUUCUUGACAGACCGAAAGGAAAAGGACAGUGAUUCCCAAACCACAGAGAAAUUAAUUACUGUUGAUGAGUAUCAAACACAACCUCGACAGAGACUCAGAAGAGGCUGAAAAAAUGGAGGAAAACGAAAAAUUGAGAAAUGAUGACAAAAAAAGCUACCAAAUCUGUUAAAUGAAGUGAAGAUGGCCCUGAAGUCUCAGUGUUCGUCCGCAUCAGUCACAUAACUUGGAAGAUGGGACAGGAUUUGCCACAGAGUAAUUACAGAGCCCUUCCAGCAGAACAGGAGCAACGUUGCAGAAAGUGUCCUCAUGUGGUGACCGCCAGCAUUGGUACAGCAAUUAAUGCCAAACUUACUGAAAUUAGAGGGAAGAAUACACAAAAACAUCUGAAAACCUUAAUGGUCUUUGAUGAUUGAUAGCCGUGACAGUGUGUUCAAGGUAUUUUGUUGUUGUUGUUGGAGUGUGUUUGUGUGUGUGUGUUUUGCCUUCGCAAAGUUCAGUUUGAUAUCAAGUUGUAAUUUUAAAUUACUCUUGUGGAGUAUAAUUUGAUUGUCUUGUUGAUUGUGUUGAAAUAAAAGUAUUUCUAAUGUAAA